rnacentral:rRNA from 1 species
AGAGAGAGACAUGCGCGCAUAUCAAUAAGCGGAGGAAAAGAAACUAACAAGGAUUCCCUUAGUAACGGCGAGUGAAGCGGGAAGAGCUCAAAUUUGAAAUCUUCAAGGUUCUACCUUGACGAAUUGUAGUUUAUAGAAGUGUUUUCUGUUAGUGGAGUGGCAAAAGUUCUUUGGAAUAGGACAUCAUAGAGGGUGAGAAUCCCGUAUUUGGUCAUUCCUCCUAGCGUUGUGAUACACUUUCAACGAGUCGGAUUGUUUGGGAAUGCAGUCCAAAAUGGGUGGUAAAUUUCAUCUAAAGCUAAAUAUUGGCGAGAGACCGAUAGCGAACAAGUACCGUGAGGGAAAGAUGAAAAGAACUUUGAAAAGAGAGUUAAACAGUACGUGAAAUUGUCAAAAGGGAAGCGUUUGACACCAGUGUUGUUUUUCCGAAAAUCAAUUACGAAUGUUUUAUUUUUGAGGAGUUAUGACUUCAUCGGCUUGCUCCUUUCUUUACGAAACUUUCUUAAUGCACUUUUCGGUUAACAAGUCAACAUCAAUUUCUUUUGUUGUAAAAGGGUAUGAGGAAGGUGGCUUUCUUUUCGGAGAAAGUGUUUAUAGCCUUGUGCCUCUGCAAUCGGAGAGAUUGAGGUCUGCAGCGUAGAUCCUUCGGGGUUAAAUACGUUUGUGCUAAGUUAUAGCUUUUCAUAGACAACUUGUUGACUAUGUUUAGUCUUGUAGCUUACUCGCUGAUGCUAUUUUACCUACGCUUAGGAUGUUGAUAGUCACAGCGUGUAC